GCAUACUGUUUUCUUGAAACUUGCUGAGGAAUUAGACUCAAGUGUUCUCACCACACACACCAGAAAGGUAUCUAGGUGAGGUGUUGGAUAUGUUGUUAGUUAGCUUGGUUGUAGUAAUCAUUUCACAACACAUAAUGGAUAUCAAAAUAUCAUGUAACCUUAAAUAUAUGUAAUUUCUAUUUGUCAGUGAUGCCUCAGUAAAGCUAGGGAGAAAAUAAAAAGGACCCUUCUGUGCAACAGCCCACAUGUCCAUUACCGAUGACUGGAUAAAGAAAACAUGGUCCACCCAUGCAGUGGAAUACUACGCAGCCAUAAAACGGAAUGAAGCCCGGAUCCAGGCUAUAACGUAGGUGAGCCUUGGAAACGUGGCGCUGAGUGAGAAGCUGGACACAAAAUAAGGCCAGGAAUGGUGGCUCACACCUGUAAUCCCAGCACUUUACGAGGCCAAGAUGGGCAGAUCACUUGAGUCCAGGAGUUUGAGGCCAGCCUAGGCAACAUGACGAAAUCCUGCCUCUACAAAAAAUACAAAAAUUAGCCAGGAGUUAAUUUAGAGGGGUCAUGUGACUAUAGUCCCAGCUACUCAGGAGGCUGAGACGGGAGGAUCACUUGAGCCUGGGAGGUGGAGGUUACAGUGAGCCGAGAUUGGGCCACGGCACUCCAGCCUGGGCAACAGAGUGAGACCCCCAUCUAACUGGUGGGGCGGGGGAGGCCACAUAGCCUGUGAUUCCAUUUGUAUGAAAUGUCUAGAAUAGGUAAAUCCAUGGAGACAGAAAGUAGACUAUAAGUUACCAGGGCUGGGCGACGAGGGGAGUGGGCGUUAUUGUUCAGUGGGUAUGGAGUUUCUAUUUGGGGUGAUAAAAAAGUUUUGGAGGCAUGAGCCACUGUGCCCAGCCGUGUGCUGAUUUCUAAGGGCCUCUCUCAAGAAGCUCGUGUUGAUAAAAAGGUAAUUUCAGGUGCUCACUUGAGAGCUGUGAAUUAAAAACAGGGAAAAGAUGGCGGGUGAGGGCAGCAGGCGAGGACUGUUUUGUUUGCAGGGGGCCAGGGUAGGUCACUCUGCUGCGGUGACCUUGCGGCUGAGCCCUGAACAAUGAGCAGCCGCAGCCAACAUGCAGGGAUCCUGCUUGGGGGCUGGAACUGGAAUGUUGAAUGUUUCAGGAACAGGAGGGAGGACAGAAUGGGGCUUGGAGAGCUUGGUGGCACCAGUUCACCCACAGCCUCUGGGCUCUAGUGAGGAAAUGAGACCCCAGCAGAGACCAGGGGGUCAGUUAAUGUUCGGAUCAACAUCAUUAUGUGGUCCCUUAGCUCUGAGUGAAGGGCGGAUUGGGAGGCGGGCAAGGAGGCCAGGACAACAUACAGGUGACAUAGGAUGGCGGCAUGGGCCUGGGUGCUGUGCUUAGAGCCAGAAGUGGGCAGGUCGCGAGAUACUUGAGAGGCAGAGCCCACAGGACUUGCUGAUGGCUUCUGUGAGGGGGAUGACAGGGAAGGUGAGGAAUCAAGGCAGAGUCUCAGCUUUGGGAUCUGAGAUUCAUUCAACAAAUAAUUCAGUGCCGCGUGCCAGGCCUAUUCUAAAAGUUGAGGAUAUGAAGACAACAAUGGUGAUGGCCUCAAGCAGUAAUCCCAGCACUUUGGGAUGUUGAGGCAGGAGGAUCUCUUGAGGCCAGAAGUUCAUGUUCAGCCUGGGCAACAUAGCAAGACCUCAUCUUUGCAAAAUAAAAUAAAUUAGCUGGACGUGAUGGCGCAUACCUGUGGUCUCAGCUACUAGGGAGGCCGAGGCGGGAGGAUCGCUUGAGCCUGGGAGGUGGAGGCUGCAGUGAGCCAUGAUUUCACCACUGCACUCCAGCCUGAGUGACAGAGCAAGACCCUAUCUCUAAAAAAAAAAAGUAAAAUUUGGGGAUGCGGCCACCAUGAGCAAAACAGUUCAAUGAUCCCUGCCCCAUGAAGAGGACAUUCUAUACACCAGGUGAAUAGUUCCAUCUGAGCAAUGGCCUGAAGGAGCCGGCCAUGUGGACAGUGGGUUGGCAGAAGCUACAGGUGGAGGAAGCGACAGGUGCAAAGGCCCUGGGGCAAGGCCUGCUGUGGUCCAGGAAUAGCAGGAGUGGCUGGAGCAGACAUGGGGUCAGGGAGCUAACUGGGCCAAUUACAAGGGUUUUGGUUUUCAGCAGGGAAAUGGUAAUGGGGGCUCUGAUGAGAAAUUCCAGGCUGGACAUAAGAGAUUUGAAAGUGCUGGCUCAAUGAUGGUACUGAGAGCCCAGGACAGCCUGAGAUGGGACAGGCUGGGAUGACAGCUGGAUGUGACAGAGCAGGGGUUCCCAUGCUGGAGGGCCCGCCUCAGAGAAUGUGUGUUUCUGGCCAGCACAGUGGCUCACGCCUGUAAUCCCAGCACUUUGGGAAGCCGAGGCAGGCGGAUCACGAGGUCAGG
rnacentral:lncRNA from 1 species